rnacentral:lncRNA from 1 species
GUGGGGCUCCCAGGGUUUGCCUGUGGAUGGAGGCAGAGCUGCCGGAAGAGAGCAGGCCUCCUUGCCCUUCGCCUCCUCCAGCUGGAAGAGAGUCAGCAGCAGUGAGUCAGACUAUUCGGAUGCAGAAGGAGGCAUGCAGGGUAAAAUGAGGUAGUAGUAUUUUGUUACGAUAUUUUACCUGACAUUUUUAGUUGCAUGUGACUUUUAGAACGUGCCUGCCAUGUGGCACUGGCCUUGACGUCUCUUUCAUGUGUGGCUUUGUACCACUUGGGUUCCUGGCCACUUGCUGGACCUGCCUUGUGAAUGCUGCUGUCUGGUCUGUUCAUCUUAUUAGCCUCUAGGCCUCUCCAGAGUGCACUCACAAGUCUUUUUGUUCUGGAAAACUUUUCUGACACCUCCCUCUGGCCUAAGCUCUCAGUUACAUGACCCCAUCAUUAAUCUUUGCCCUAGUGCCAUGGAAAGUGUGUGGCAGUUCUUUCUUUUUUUUGUAAAGAUUUUAUUUGUUUAUUAUGCAUACAGUGUUCUGCAUGCAUAUAUGCCUGCAUGUCAGAAGAGAGCACCAGAUCUCAUCAUAGAUGAUUGUGAGCCACCUUGUGGUCGCUGGUAUUUGAACUCAGGGCCUCUGGAAGAGCAGUCAGUAUUCUUAACCUCUGAGCCAUCUCUCCAGCCUGACAGUUCUUUCUUGAACCAUCCGUCACUGCCACUAAAAAGUGCAUCAAGGGCAGGGGCUUUGUGCAUAGCCACCUCAAGCGCUGUGACCCAUAUAAGGUCACUUGGGGUCUCCACUGAGCAGAUGCAAGGAUACCCAGCGCUGUCCUUGUCUAACUCUGGUUUCCUAGUCAAAAUGUUACUCUCUUAUUCUCCGCCUGCUUGCAUAUUUAUCACCCUUAAUAGCUGGGAGCAAAAAUACCUAACAUGUUUUGAUCAUACUCUAAAAGGGAUAACAUCCUUAGGGGUGUUCAGGAUGCUUAGCUUCUCAAAGCAUUUGAAGUGGUUAGAGUAAACAGCCUUUCCAUUCACAUUUCUAAAAUUUCGUGCUAAAACUUUUUUUUUUUCUACUCUGAAAGGUCAUACCAGGCCAAGGUUCGCCAAGGGGCACUAGCUUGUUUUCUUUCUACUAUCAAAUCAAUAGAAAAGAAAGUUCUAUACGGCUACUGGUCUGCCUUUGUUCCUGACACGCCGGAGCUCGGAAGCCCACAGUCAGUGUCCUUAAUGACGCUCACAUUAAAGGACCCGUCUCCAAAGGUGAGGAUGCUGAGCCAAAGCUUUAUGAGAACAAGUCACAUUUUGUGUCCUCUUUCUUCUUUGUGCUAUCUGAUCGUCUCUGAACUCUACUCUCACUAAUACCAUCCCAGGUCUUGUCUUGAGAACCCUAAUAGGCAGGAAAUGACAAGGGGUCCGGCUUCUGCGGACCACGUGGUAGGAUUACAUCUUAGGCCCAGGGCUGCUUGAAGUCAGAGCCCACUGAGCUGUAACUUCCGUGUCUCCUGUGAGCCCCACUGACGCUGUGGUGUUUAUAAAAGGUACAAUGAGGAAGUGACGUAGCUCCGUGGACUGUAGGGCGUAAUAGUUGUAAAGGCUGGCUAAAGCUAGACAGGUGUCUAAUGUUCUGUGAGAGCAGGAGGUACUGCUGUAUAUAAAAUAAUGUGCUGACAAAUUUUCCCAAAUCUUAAAGAAUCAUGGAUGAUUCACAUAUUUUAAUGAGAAAAGGCAACUUCAAGAAAGAAAAACAAUGGUUUGGCAGCCUUGAUAGCAUCGGCAACUACCCCGUGGCAGAUGGAGUGUCUGCCUCUGUUCAGACAUGUUCACUCCUCUUUAAUCUAGCUCUCAACC